CCGUCAAACCGCCUAAACCACCAGCAGCCAAACCACCAAAACCACCGGCAGUAAAACCUCCUAAACCCCCCACCAAACCUCCCACCCUUAAACCACACCCCCACCCUAAACCUCCCACCGUUAGACCACAUCCACACCCUAAGCCCCCUACCAAACCUCAUCCCAUCCCAAAACCGCCCACCGUUAAACCACCACCCUCCACACCCAAACCGCCCACAAAACCACCCACCGUUAAACCACCUCCAUCCACCCCUAAGCCGCCCACCAAACCACCCACCGUCAAACCACCACCCUCCACCCCAAAACCGCCCACCAAGCCACCCACCGUCAAACCACCUCCGUCCACCCCUAAACCACCUACCCACAAGCCACCAACAGUGUGCCCACCGCCAACACCAACACCAACCCCACCUGUUGUAACGCCACCAACACCACCAACACCAACUCCACCAGUCGUUACGCCACCAACACCAGCCCCACCUGUUGUAACGCCACCAACACCAACACCACCGGUCGUAACGCCACCGACACCAACCCCUCCUGUCGUAACACCUCCAACACCACCGGUCGUAACGCCACCGACACCAACUCCUCCUGUCGUAACACCACCAACACCACCGGUCGUAACGCCACCGACACCAACCCCUCCUGUCGUAACACCUCCAACACCACCGGUCGUAACGCCACCGACACCAACCCCUCCUGUCGUAACACCACCAACACCAACUCCACCUAAGCCAGAAACGUGCCCAAUCGACACGUUGAAGCUAGGCGCUUGUGUAGACGUUCUUGGAGGUUUAAUUCACAUCGGGCUUGGUGGAAGUAGCGCCAAGAAAGAGUGUUGUCCGGUUUUGGGAGG
rnacentral:lncRNA from 1 species